GAUCCUGGCUCAGGACGAACGCUGGCGGCGUGCCUAAUACAUGCAAGUAGAACGCUGAAGGAAGGAGCUUGCUCUUUCCGGAUGAGUUGCGAACGGGUGAGUAACGCGUAGGUAACCUGCCUGGUAGCGGGGGAUAACUAUUGGAAACGAUAGCUAAUACCGCAUAACAGUAGAUAUCGCAUGAUAUUUGCUUGAAAGGUGCAAAUGCACCACUACCAGAUGGACCUGCGUUG
rnacentral:rRNA from 1 species